ensembl:lncRNA
CAACGAUGACAUUUUCAAACGUUUGAAAUUUGAAAUUUAACUUGUAUUAUUAAUACAUUUUAAUACAUUUUAAAAGAAACAGGAGUGUUCUUAAGUUUAGACCACCUCUGUGCUACCCCUUUGCAUGUGUCUCACUGUACACGAUUCAUUUUUUCUGGUUUUCUUUUUCUCUCAGGUUGCUGGUUGUGGAAUUUGGAGCUGCAGAGAUUUGAGCUGUGCUCCAAAAGUGCAUGUUGAAGGUACCUAAUGCUUUCAUAUUAUUUACUUUUUCCUUAAUACGCAAUUUUAGAUUUUGAACUCUCUUAUUUGGUCUUUUAGGUUAUGAAUGUGGUGUUGUAAGCUUUGCUCUUUAAACAAACAACGAUCAAAUAAUCAAAACAAAGAUGGAUAAGACAUUUGCACACAGAAGAAGAGAGGUGAUUGAAGAGAUGCCAUUCAUCGCAGAGUUCAAAAGCAGAUGGCCGGCCCUCUUCAAAGUACCUGAGAUCAAUGCGGAGUUCACCCGAAUCACCACAGUUCCACUGCUGUCCACAUUCAUGAGCAGUCUUGACCAGUACUCUGACCAGUUGAUGAAGAUUCUACGAAAAAAAAGGAGGGGAAACAGCGCGGCGGAUCACAGCAGCGUUAUCUGCAAUUUCACAGGUAUUCUGUCUUGUUAAAAUGUUCUGUAACUAAUAGAUUAGUUGCAGGUUGAUCUCAGGUCAGGUUAUUAAACUGUAUUUUUAACUUUCUUGGGUCAUUUCAUGCUUGUUCUCUCCUGCGUUAUACUUCUCAUCUCGCUUUUGGCUUAUAUUCUGGAUUUGGUCCUGACACAAAGCAGAACUAAGUAACUCAUGCCCCUAGAGGCCAUAAGUGCCGCUGCUGGCAUUGUAGCUUUUUUCUUUUCUUUUUUUUGUUACUCAUUAAUUGUCCAAAGGAAUAAUUAGCUACACUGAGAAAAGACAAAGGCAGACAACAUUUCACAUUUCGCCACAACUCAGUGACACAAUAGAUUUUUUUUUUUCACUCUUGGUAUAAAUACUGCAAAUGUGGUGGUAGCCGGCAUACCUCAUAUUAAC